rnacentral:tRNA from 1 species
CGGGGUGUGGCGCAGUUGGCUAGCGCACCUGCUUUGGGAGCAGGGGGUCCCAAGUUCGAGUCUUGGUACCCCGA